CAUCUCUUCCCCACGCCCACCUUAUCCAAUCAUCUCAGGAAAGGCAUGCCGCCGGCAGCGCUGGAACCGAUCUGGCGCGGUGGCUGCCGUCGACGCCGUGUGCCCCCGGAACCUCUCAUGCAUCCUCUCAGCCACACGGCCCACCAACACCAUGGCCCUCUCGUCCAUCUCUUCCACCCCAUCCCCAUCUUCUCCGAUGCCGACCUCGGCAAGCAUGCCGGCGACGCAUCUCCUGCCCCUUCCUCUGCGCAUUAGUCCCAGCGCCCAACAUCUCCACACCCCCUCCUCCUCGCCAUCUCCUCCACCCCCUUCCCCGUCUCCUGCCGCUGACCGCCGCCGGCUAUGUGUUGCUUCCUUGGCGGAGGCGCUUCCGCAUAGUCCACCUCCUCCUUCCCCACUGUCACUGAAGCGCCCCAUGUGGAGGUGCUAUGCUUGGCUACUGCCUCUCCUUCCCAAUCCUCAUCCCUCCCACCCGUGCCGCCUCCAAAAUUCAUUUUUUUGUUACCCAUAGUUCAAUUCGUGCGCUCAGGUCGAACUCUCUAGAAGGGACGAGGAUCUAGAAGCCAGUCUUGCAGAGUUGCAGUCCAAUAUAAAUCAAAUGGGUAGGCAGAUGGGACUCAAGCUGCUUGUACUACACCUCAAGAGCCACACGCUCGUCACGCCAAUCUGGAGGUGAAUCUAGCUGCUUGGCUACCCGUUUUCUCAUGGGACUGGAAUACUACAGGCCGUUAUGUUUAAGUAGUGAUUGUCUGAUGCCCUUUUAGGUCAGAAGAUAGAUGAGGCGAGAUCUUCAGAGCCAAUAUUGUUUUUCACAUAUUUUCUAAUUAAGCAAACAACGAAAAGAAGGGCAUACUAUGGUUGACAAAUGAUUCCAUGGCCUAUUUGUAGAUUCGUGGUGGUGUUGUACACAAAUUCAGGUUCGCUGUGCAUAUGUAGCAAAGUGUUCAGUCAAACAUGUCUACUUCGUUCUUGUUUGUCCUGGAACCAUUUAUAAAUGUGUGCUCAAGCUAUAGUAUAUAUGUUUUUUCGAUUCAUGGCUGCCAUUUAUCUUCUCAUUUAAGUUUGGUGUGCCUAAUAUACUGGCACACAAUGAGCAAUGUUGAAUACUUGGAAGAAAGGUAGCAUAAUAUAUUAUUUUGUCUUCUACAGCUGUUCCAAGGAAAGGAGCAGUUCUAUUAAGGAUGGAUAUGAUAAUAUGUAUUGGAGAAUGCUCGUCGUCCUGGUAAUUUCGGAGAUCUGGCAUCAGCACAAUCGUCUUAUCUUUCAAAUUUUGUAGUUAUCGGCUCCAACGCUCGCAUGUCUUGCGAUUGCGAAGCCAAUGUAAGGAGUCUGAUGCGCCCGCUGGCGUGCAUUCCUUCAGUGCCUCUCCUCUGGCAUCAACCUGAAUGACCACGACAAUCGCUGAAUGAUAGUUUAACUUGCGAGAAAAUACUAUUGCAUUUAAAAAAAGCGAUUAUGCUUGAUCUUAUAAGCAAUAUUGCAUUUAAAGAAGUGUUUCUCACUAAGGAAGGUAAUUAUAAUAAGCAUAAGAAUCAGCACGUGAUUGUUUUUAGGAUAACUGAAAUAUGCAAAAAAAAAAAAAAUGCCAGAAGAUCCUGAUCUUACUAAGCACAGAGUUCUUGGCUUAAGUACCAGGCAGUAGGUGACUGGUUUUCAUGGCGUUACAGCCAAAUCUUGCUUUAUGUAAUGUAAGAAGAGACUGAAAGUUUGUUCUAUUAAGCAACAAUCUAAUGAUAUAUAUAUACAGCAAAGGUUGCCUGCAAGAAGCAUUGCCUUCUGUACGUUGAGCAUUUGUUUGUAUAUCUAAGCUCAAUAAAUUGCGUUUCACAAUGACAAUUCAGAUAUGUUGUUAGUCGUUCGGCUUAGCAAUUCCAGAAGUUGUAGUUCCAGCCAAACAUCUAAAUACUGAGCUCAAAUUGCAGAAAA